GACGAACGCUGGCGGCGUGCCUAAUACAUGCAAGUAGAACGCACAGUUUAUACCGUAGCUUGCUACACCAUAGACUGUGAGUUGCGAACGGGUGAGUAACGCGUAGGUAACCUGCCUGGUAGCGGGGGAUAACUAUUGGAAACGAUAGCUAAUACCGCAUAAUAUUAAUUAUUGCAUGAUAAUUGAUUGAAAGGUGCAAAUGCAUCACUACCAGAUGGACCUGCGUUGGUAUUAGCUAGUAGGUGAGAGUGGACGGCUCACCUAGGCAACGAUUCCAUAGCCCACCUGAGAGGGGGUCCGGCCCCCUUGGGCUGGAAACCCGCCCAAACUCCUCCCGGGGGCACCAUGGGGAAUUUUCGGGAAUGGGCAAAAGUUUACCCAACAACCCCCCGGGGGGGAAAAAGGUUUUCGAACCAAAACCCUUUUUUAAAAAAAAAAGGGGGGGAAAGGGAAAAUUUCCCCGGGGGGGGUUUUUCCCAAAGGGGGGGGGAAUUUUUGGGAGAAGGGGGGGAAAAAUGUCCCCCGGGGGCCCAAAAUAGGGGGAAAAACCCCCCGGGGAAAAAAAAUAAAAAAAAGGGGGGGGAACCAAAAACCUUUUAAAGGUUUUUUGGGGGGGGGGGGGGGGAUUUUUUGGGGGGAAAAAAAAAAAAAAAAAACCCGGGGGAAGUUUUUUUUUUUUUUUCGCCACAAAGGGGGAAGAAAAAAAAAUAACCCGCCAGCAAGCAACAAAAUAUAUUUUCUCCCCCGCGCGGGGGGACAAUAUAUUUUUUUUUAUUUUUAAA
rnacentral:rRNA from 1 species